AUUGAACGCUGGCGGCAUGCCUUACACAUGCAAGUCGUACGGCAGCGCGGACUUCGGUCUGGCGGCGAGUGGCGAACGGGUGAGUAAUACAUCGGAACGUACCCUGUUGUGGGGGAUAACUAGUCGAAAGAUUAGCUAAUACCGCAUACGACCUGAGGGUGAAAGUGGGGGACCGCACGGCCUCAAGCAGCAGGGGCGGCCGAUGUCUGAUUAGCUAGUUGGUGGGGUAAAGGCCCACCAAGGCGACGAUCAGUAGCUGGUCUGAUAGGACGAUCAGCCACACUGGGACUGAGACACGGCCCAGACGACUACGGGAGGCAGCAGUGGGGAAUUGUGGACAAUGGGGGCAACCCUGAUCCAGCAAUGCCGCGUGUGUGAAGAAGGCCUGCGGGUUGUAAAGCACUUUUGUCCGGAAAGAAAUCGCGCUGGUUAAUACCUGGCGUGGAUGACGGUACCGGAAGAAUAAGCACCGGCUAACUACGUGCCAGCCGUCGCCGUAA
rnacentral:rRNA from 1 species